CGGGAACCGUGGAGCCCAGGGCCACGAAGGCGUGAGCUGAAGUGCUUCUUCCCUCUCCUGCGGGGUCCCGAAGCUCCGGAGCUGACAGCACCUCCAGGAGCUACUACGACCCACCUGGCUCCUCCUCCUCCGAGGUUCCCCACAGGAGGAAAAGACUGAUGAAGCUUGAAGCACUGGGUUGGCCUGGGAGGACUGUGGUGACCUUGAGUACAAAUAAUGCAUUUCCCCAGUUUGUUCAUCAGCUCUUAAGGAAUGUUUCCAUUCUAAGAAAAUUGCUGCACACGAUGAAUUCAAGCCCGAGGUCCAGAGAUGUCACACGCCUGUCCAUUAAAGAUGUUGAGAUGCUGUCUCAAAGAGAUGUGUCUGGGAGAUGGAGCAGGGCACCUGCAGCCGACUUUGAGUGAGUGAAGAAAAUACUGGUUCAAGUGAGUGAGCUGGUAAGAUCUGG